GUGAUCAUCGAAUCUUUGAACGCACUUGCGCCCCUUGGCUAUUCCGAGGGCAUGCCUGUUUGAGUAUCAUGAACACCUCAACUCUCACGGUUUUCCGUGAUGAGCUUGGACUUUUGGGGGUUUUGCUGGCCCAUGAGGUCUGCUCCUCUCAAACGAAUCAGCUUGCCGGUGUUUGGCGGCAACCGUGGGUGUGAUAACUAUCUACGCUUGUGGUUUUCCACCAGGUAACCUUCAGCAGUUGGAGGUUCAUUGGAGCUCAUAGAUGUCUCUCCUCAGUGAGGACAGCCCUUUGAAUGUUUGAUCUCAAAUCAGGUAGGACUACCCGCUGAACUUAAGCAUAUCAAUAAGCGGAGG
rnacentral:rRNA from 1 species